rnacentral:sRNA from 1 species
GACUCGAGCGAAGCGAGAGAACGUUGCGCCAGCAACGGCCCGCAGGGCGAGCCACGAAGUGGCGAGUAAUCCUCUGGCACCGACCA